ACUCCUACGGGAGGCAGCAGUGGGGAAUAUUGCACAAUGGGGGAAACCCUGAUGCAGCCAUGCCGCGUGUGUGAAGAAGGCCUUCGGGUUGUAAAGCACUUUCAGUAGGGAGGAAGGUAGUGUAGUUAACACCUGCACUAUUUGACGUUACCUACAGAAGAAGCACCGGCUAACUCCGUGCCAGCAGCCGCGGUAAUACGGAGGGUGCGAGCGUUAAUCGGAAUUACUGGGCGUAAAGCGCAUGCAGGCGGCCUGUUAAGUCAGAUGUGAAAGCCCGGGGCUUAACCUCGGAAUUGCAUUUGAAACUGGCAGGCUAGAGUCUUGUAGAGGGGGGUAGAAUUUCAGGUGUAGCGGUGAAAUGCGUAGAGAUCUGAAGGAAUACCAGUGGCGAAGGCGGCCCCCUGGACAAAGACUGACGCUCAGAUGCGAAAGCGUGGGGAGCAAACAGGAUUAGAUACCCUGGUAGGAUAGCC
rnacentral:rRNA from 1 species